UAGGGAAUCUUCGGCAAUGGACGAAAGUCUGACCGAGCAACGCCGCGUGAGUGAAAAAGGUUUUCGGAUCGUAAAACUCUGUUGUUAGAGAAGAACAAGGACGUUAGUAACUGAACGUCCCCUGACGGUAUCUAACCAGAAAGCCACGGCUAACUACGUGCCAGCAGCCGCGGUAAUACGUAGGUGGCAAGCGUUGUCCGGAUUUAUUGGGCGUAAAGCGCGCGCAGGCGGUUUCUUAAGUCUGAUGUGAAAGCCCCCGGCUCAACCGGGGAGGGUCAUUGGAAACUGGGAGACUUGAGUGCAGAAGAGGAGAGUGGAAUUCCAUGUGUAGCGGUGAAAUGCGUAGAUAUAUGGAGGAACACGAGUGGCGAAGGCGGCUCGCUGGUCGGUAACUGACGCGGAGGAUCGAAAGCGUGGGGAGCAAACAGG
rnacentral:rRNA from 1 species